GUUUUGCUCAUCUUUGCUCUAUAUUGGCAGGGUUGGGUCUGUCUCAGUAUCAAUCUGAUAGAUCUAUCUAUGAAGAAUACAUCAGCCGUGUUGAUGCAAUAGUGUGUGCGUGUGUGUAUGUGUGUGUGUGUGUGUGUAUGUGUGUGUUAGGAGGGGGGGUCUAUAGUGCUGUCAGAUGACUCACUCUUGGGCCCCUAAUACACACACACACACACACACACACACACACACACACACACACACACACACACACACACACACACACACACACACACAAACUAUCUCUCCCUCUCCCACUCACUCUCUGUCUCCCUCUCUCCCCUGUUCUCCUGGAAGAGGGAUUCUUUAUCAAACUGCAUCAGACUAUUCUCCACUGGAGGGCGAAUUCUACAAGAGGAACAGGGCGAAUUGGAAGGAAUACAGUCGGAGCGAAGGGGUAGAGGCAACAGCAGCUGGAAGCAAGAGAGACAGAGAAAAUCCCGGCCCGAUCCCUGCAAGCAUCAUUCUCGCCACCGGAUUAAAUCCGUCCCCUCCUCGCACGCCAAACCACGCCAAGACAUGAGCUUCUCCUGCCGGGGUUACUUCAUGUUGAACUGCUCAUCAACGUGAGCUCCAGCCUGUGGAGACGGGCAGCCAUUUCCAAGGAAAGGAGGAGGAGGAGGAGGAGGAGGAGGAGGAGGAGGAGGGGAAGGGAAGAGGAGGAGGGAACGGCAGAGCCAAGAAAACAACCUGUCAGUCUCGGAUAAAUAAGCAUCAUGAAUGGUGCCCGGGGAAAACCGCAUCCUCCAUGAUCUGAAAUCCAUACUCAUUAUGAAACAUUUAAAUAGAAACCUUUUAAUCUGCAUUUCUUUUUGCAUUCAUACUUUAGUUUUUGCAUUUUGUGUGUGUGGGUGGUUUUUGCAUUGAACGUAUACAUUAUUUCAUCUUGGAUUUGAAUACGAUUCGGAAAGUGGCAAUCUCAAGGAAUUCCGCUUUCUUGUCUUCGGAAACUUCUUGGCGAUAUAUGCAGUGAUUGUUCCAAUGUAAUGGUAUUGCCGUCGACAACCAGUUCGUUAUUAGAUAAUACUGCAAAUGCAUGGGCUUUCAUCAUAGGCCAGAUCACCAUUGUGUUAACUCAUUUGGGGAUAGAUGGAAACUUCCCAGACAUGUAUUUACAUAAAAACCUUUGAGAUUUCCACUUUAAAAAUAAACUGUCCUCUUUAAAGCUUUUGAUAUGCAGUUCUCCUGGUACUCUGGAUGAAUUCAGUGUCUUGGGGGCGAUUGUGCAACUAGAUUUGUGGAUUAGUCAUGGAAGUAGACCAAACAUCAAACACAAGGUCAGAAGGUCAGUUCUCCGAAAUUUGAUAAAAAUGUCCACAUAAUAACCAUUAUGGGAGUAAAGCAAUCAAAUCAAAAAGAGACGUUUCUAAAAAUACUGUUACAGGUU
rnacentral:lncRNA from 1 species